UACGGAGGAUCCAAGCGUUAUCCGGAAUUACUGGGCGUAAAGAGUUGCGUAGGUGGCAUGGUAAGCGAGUAGUGAAAGCGUUCGGCUCAACCGAAUAUACAUUAUUCGAACUGCCAAGCUUGAGAGUGAGAGAGGUAGAUGGAAUUCCUAGUGUAGGGGUAAAAUCCGUUGAUAUUAGGAGGAACACCGAUGGCGUAAGCAGUCUACUGGCUCAUUUCUGACACUAAGGCACGAAAGCGUGGGGAGCAAACGGG
rnacentral:rRNA from 1 species